rnacentral:sRNA from 2 species
UUACAGAUGAACUAGGGUUCCGGCAGUCGAUCAAUACAACUGCGUCUGGUCCAAGAGUUCUCGGUCUUGUUGCAUUUAACAAGACUCCACGGAGGGAUAAAAGCCCGGGAGGU